UUCCACAGCAUGCAAUUAAGGAAACCUUCCUCUUUCUCUGGUCUUCUCUUAUCUUUGCACAUACAACUUGUCUAGUGAGUGAAGAGAUGGAAGGGAUGGCAAAUGCAAGAGAUUUUGGUGCAGAGUAAAUUGGUUUGUUGCUGAGCUAUUCAGUACUUAACCUGCCUUACCUGUUAAACCUUUCUGAGCAUUUUGGACUGCCUAGUUGCCCUUUUGAGCCUAUUCGGCUCUUUAUGCAUCAGGAUGGGUUCUCGGCAUUUUGGGCUGUUUGGUUGCCCUGUUGAGCCUAUUCGCCUGCUUAAGCAUCUAGAGUAGGUAUAGGUCUCCUAAGUUCCUAGGCAAGGAAACAGGUCCCCAUGGAGCUGCUUGGGCUAGCAAUUAAAACAGUAUGGUUUCUUUAAUGUCUGUCCAAUGUCUACAUCAUUUACUCUUGCUUUCAUCCUAAUCCCUGUUCUUGGGUGAAGGAACUCUUAGUUGCACUGCAGGUAACUUGGUUCUGUGAAACUUCUAUCCACUACGUAGUCUGCAUUAUAAUAUUCAUUUAUAACAUUGUAAGUUUAACCUUCUACAGGUUCUUGUAAUGAGAGAACUUCCUCUUCCACAACUUUGAUGCUGAAAGUAUCAAAUUUUAUUGGAGACAUCUAUGGAUUGAAAAGAAAGAAAGAUUGGAAAGAGAAAUGGAGAUAAAGCGGGUUACAGAGGAACUGCUGGCUCAAGCAAAACAUUACCCUUGCUGAGACAUCCUAUUUUGGUUCUUUUCCUUUAAAAUUUUUGUAUGCUUAAAUAAGAGUUUCCUGGAAGAGUGAUCCCUGAUUGCCACUAAAUGCUGGUAAUUAGCUCACAUAGGUUGUUCUGUUUCCUAACUUCAUGCUUGGAUUUGCAUGAUAUAUCAGCUUUUCAAUGCUAUCAGACAGUCUGAAGAACAUAACUUCUGUUUCCUUUAUGCCUGUCCACCUUCUGCUUGUUUUGUAUAAGACAAGACAAGGGUGUAACUGAUACAUAUCAUGCAUGAUAAAAUGUUUGAUCUGGGAAAUUAUCAUGUGGUGAAUUUGCUGAUAGGAACUAUAGUCUGUCAGGGCAGGUGGUGAAAUUUGCAUUGGCUACAUGCUUCACCUACCUGACAUGCUUAGCUAUAUCCAUUCAUUACUCAGUUUAUCUAUUUCUAUUAUUAUGAAAGAAUUGUUAUAUAACGUACUAUUUAUGUUCCACAUAUUUAGAGUUAUCUACUGUUGGGAUUCAUGCGAAGAACUUUGAUAUUCACAAAAUGCAGAUAUCUACAGAUCUAUAUGGGGUUCGACAGCAUAAGCUGGCUUUGAAAGUUGGUAAACAACUAUUAUACUUCAAGGUAUUUUAAACAACUAGUUGAUGAGUAUAAUGUCAUGAUAAGCACCAUAACUUUUGACUAUUUAGAUGUGUUCUCAAUUUUAUAUUAAUUCUUAUAGAUAAUAUUUGUUAUAUCUUUAGAAAAUGCUUGCUGUCCAUUAUAUAUGAUUAUUUUUCUAAUUCUCUUCAUGGUCUAGCUUGAGAUCCUAAUUCAAGAGAUGUCAAACGAGGCAUUUAUGGAUUGGCUAUGUGGAGCUGGUUCAGCUGAUGGCAUCGUCAGGAAGUUUAAAUGAUGUUGUUUAGCUAUUUUGUCCUGCUAGAGAAUUCCUAAAAAUUAAAACACCUUCCCUUCCACCUCCCCGGCUCUCUCUUUCUAAUUUAUAAGCUAUAAGUUUGUAGGUUUCUUGUUUACUUCCACCUCCCCGGCUCUGCCAUUACCUUUUACACACUGUGAGUUUAUAAUAUGACUUAAAUGAUUAUGGCAGUAAAAGGUA